CCUACGGGAGGCAGCAGUGGGGAAUCUUAGACAAUGGGCGCAAGCCUGAUCUAGCCAUGCCGCGUGAGCGAUGAAGGCCUUAGGGUUGUAAAGCUCUUUCGUGGGGGAAGAUAAUGACGGUACCCCAAGAAGAAGCCCCGGCUAACUCCGUGCCAGCAGCCGCGGUAAUACGGAGGGGGCUAGCGUUGUUCGGAAUUACUGGGCGUAAAGCGCACGUAGGCGGAUCGGAUAGUCAGAGGUGAAAUCCCAGGGCUCAACCUUGGAACUGCCUUUGAAACUCCCGGUCUUGAGGUCGAGAGAGGUGAGUGGAAUUCCGAGUGUAGAGGUGAAAUUCGUAGAUAUUCGGAGGAACACCAGUGGCGAAGGCGGCUCACUGGCUCGAUACUGACGCUGAGGUGCGAAAGCGUGGGGAGCAAACAGGAUUAGAUACUCUGGUAGUCCACGCCGUAAACGAUGAAUGCCAGUCGUCGGCAGGCGUGCCUGUCGGUGACACACCUAACGGAUUAAGCAUUCCGCCUGGGGAGUACGGCCGCAAGGUUAAAACUCAAAGGAAUUGAACGG
rnacentral:rRNA from 1 species